CCUACGGGAGACAGCAGUGGGGGAUAUUGCACAAUGGGGGAAACCCUGAUGCAGCGACGCCGCGUGUGGGAAGACGGUCCUCUGGAUUGUAAACCACUGUCCCCAGGGCCGAAGAUGCCGUUACCUGGGGAGGACGCUCCGGCUAACUACGUGCCAGCAGCCGCGGUAAUACGUAGGCAGCGAGCGUUGUCCGGAAUUACUGGGUGUAAAGGGAGCGUAGGCGGGGAUGCAAGUUGGGUGUCAAAACUACCGGCUCAACUGGUAGUCGCACUCAAAACUGCAGCUCUUGAGUGAAGUAGAGGCAGGCGGAAUGCCUAGUGUAGCGGUGAAAUGCGUAGAUAUUAGGAGGAACACCAGUGGCGAAGGCGGCCUGCUGGGCUUUGACUGACGCUGAGGCUCGAAAGUGUGGGGAGCAAACAGGAUUAGAUACCCCUGUAGUC
rnacentral:rRNA from 1 species